AACGAAUGAAGUUGAUGCGUCUAUCGUCAUUGGUGAGUGCGACCAGCCAGAAGGCAUGGGUUUCCUACUUUUGACAGGUCCCCCAGCUGAAGUUGAACCGCCAGUUGCUACUCCUCCAACUUCUGCUAUUGUCGAAGCUGAACCUGUUGUGCCUAGAGUUGAAUCCCCUCUUAAGGAGCCUCUUAGUUUGGACCCGCCGUCUUCAGAGGCUUUAGUU